UCUCUGCACGAUCUCUUUUUCUACUUUUCCCUUUGACAUCUGAGUUCAGAAAAUGUUCCUCUGUCUUCUAAGUGUCUUAGCAUUUUACUUUCUGUAUCUGAGUAUCUGAUCCGUUUGAAGUCAACUUUCAUGUCUGAGGUAGAAAUAUGUUUUGAAAAAUAGGAAAUUAUGGCCUCUGUGCUGUGCGUGUAAUGGUUUGUUCUUCUCCCGGGUGAUUUGUCAAAGCGAGCCUUUCGUAAAUCAAAUGUCCACACAUUUUCCAUCUAAGGUUUGGGUCCCUGUUUGGCUGUAUUGGUCAAUUUGUCUGUUCCUCUGCCAAUGUCACACUGCUAAGUUAUUGUACCUGUGUAAUCACUUUUUGAGCUCUCUGGUAAGAGGUGUGUCUCCUUCUUCCCGGAGGUACUUUGGCUACCAUGUUUUUUUUUUUUUUUUUCUCUUUUAAGUAGAUUUUAGAAAGAGCUUGUCCCCUCCCUUCUUCUAUGGACACAAAUACAGACUGAGAAAGGGAAGAUGGCUCAGUAGAAACAGGAGCUUGCCCCAAAGCCUGACAGCUGGAAUCAAAUCCACUCCUGGGACCCACAUAGGAGAAUGGUAGUCAGAUUAAAAACAUCAAUUUGAUUGGAUUAUAGCGUCUACAGGUUAAGAUAAAGGAAAUUAAUCCAUAGAUGAUCUGUACUGCUCCAAUCCAUCCAUAUGCUUUAUAUCCCAAGUGUUUAUGUUGUGUAUAACCCCUCUGUCUUUCCCUCCCUCCCAACCUCCCUCCCUCAUCUCCCUCCCCACUUCUUUCUUGAGAUAAGUUCACAUAUAGUUUGUGCUGGCUUCAAACACAUGAAUACUCUGAUUCCAGCAACCAUGAUGUUGAGAUUGAAGGUGUCUGCCAUCAUGUCCAAACAUUAUAAUGUUCUUUAGAGAGGUUUUAUUUUUAACAUAUAUUUACUUUCAUCUGCUUUCUUACAAAGAUUUUUUUCAAUUACAUCUUUCAUAUUCUUGACUUGUUGAUAUAACAGUGUCUAAUGUUUCCUUCUUAACACUCGCAUGUAACUUCUUAAUAAUUUGUACUCAGUAAACCUGUUUCUAUUCAUUUUUAUACUUUUCUCCAGAUAGAAGACUAUCUUCUGUUCAAUUGUUUUUUCCUCAUCUUUAUGUAUGCUACCCUAGGUAGCAAAGGCUUCAGAUAUUUCCCCAUCAAGUAAGAGGUGUUUUGAACACAUGUUACACUGAGUUAGAAGUUCUUCCCUUCUCAUUUACUUGCUUUAAGUUUUCAUCUUUCGUGAUAUUGGGAGUCAUUAGAUUUCCUCACUGUACUGAUUUAAGGACUAAUUUUUCACCCAAAAGGUUGCUGAGUACUGAAACACCUUUAUCCUUGAAGCACUGAGCAGGGUGCGCAUGGCUUGCUGUGAUGAGGAGAGCAGCGAUGUCCAUCAACAGGGAACGUCAUCCCCAGAAGGGACCCAAUCAGCAUCCUGGGUCUUAGUGCAGGACCUUGGUGCUCAAGGAACAUAGCUCAGUGGGCAAUACUGCCUGUUCAAAGUGGCCCGUGACCUUAAGCUAUAGUCCCAGUCCGGGAGGGUAAAACUUAUAGUUCAAAUUAGUCCCUAAAUUGUACCUUUUGAAUCAAAAGGAAGUCCUGUCUGGGUGGGGUGGGGUGGCACAUGGGCCUGUGAUUCCAAUGUUGGAGAGGCUGAAUAUGGAGAGUGUUCUCGUCAGCUGAGUGCUACCAUGGCAAAACUCAAUAGUAACAAAUAAACAAUAACUACAAAAUGACUUUUCUGUUUAGCUUAAACAAGAAACUAGUACAUUACAUGAACAAUGUGUGGCUGGUGUUGCAGCGUACGUAGGUAGAGUGCUUGCCAACCAUGUACAAAGCUCCCCCACUUUCAAGAUGACUGGCUUAGUAUAGGUUCUGUUCUUCAUGCCUGAAGUAUUCUAGCAAAACUCAGCUUCUUUCCAUUCUGAUGAAAGCAUCCAUAGUUUUCUAGUAAACUCCCUGGAUCGUUGGCAGCAAAAUCAGCUCUGCACUAUUUACCCAGCUGAAGUCUGCUGUCUAUGGUUCCUAACUAGAGCUGUGCAUCAAAAGUUUGGGGUAACUGAUUGACUGAUGCUGAGAUAGGAUCCGAUUUAUACAAGGAUGGCCUGGAACUCAAUUGGUGAUCUAAGAUGACCUUGAACUCUGUCCUCCUGUUUCUGCCUUAAAUUUUGGAUUCAUAGGCAAUCAAAAGCUGUGAAACCUGGUUUAAUGAGAAGGGGAAUAGGUUUUAGUAUCGACUCAAGAUAAGAACGUGAGUUUAUAGAGAAGAGCAACAAGGGGGCUGAGAUGGCUCAGUGGUUAAGUGCACUGACUACUCUUCCAGAGGUCCUGAGUUCAAUUCCCAGCAACCACAUGGUGGCUCACAACCAUCGGUAAUGGGAUCCGAUGCCCUCUUCUGGUAUGCAUGAAGACAGUGACAGUAUACUCACAUAAAUAAAUGAAUGAAUGAAUAAAUAAAACAUUAAAAAAGAAGAGAAACAAAUAAUACAAUUGUGAUGCAUUCAACUUCACUCUGUAUAAAAUCAGAGUCUUGUUGAUCAUCCUUAGAUUCAAAAGCAAAAGCUUGUUGUGCCUAUCUGCCAAAUUGAUUAAGUCACUAAAUAUUUGUUUUGUGCCUAGUAUUUUAAGUGUUAUAUAAUCUAGGAAAAUGU
rnacentral:lncRNA from 1 species